AUUGAACGCUGGCGGCAUACCUUACACAUGCAAGUCGAACGGCAGCACGGGAGCUUGCUCCUGGUGGCGAGUGGCGAACGGGUGAGUAAUACAUCGGAACGUACCCUGAAGUGGGGGGAUAACGUAGCGAAAGUUACGCUAAUACCGCAUAUUCUGUGAGCAGGAAAGAGGGGGAUCGCAAGACCUCUUGCUUUAGGAGCGGCCGAUGUCGGAUUAGCUAGUUGGUGAGGUAAAGGCUCACCAAGGCGACGAUCCGUAGCGGGUCUGAGAGGAUGAUCCGCCACACUGGGACUGAGACACGGCCCAGACUCCUACGGGAGGCAGCAGUGGGGAAUUUUGGACAAUGGACGAAAGCCUGACGCAGCCAUGCCGCGUGAAUGAUGAAGGUCUUAGGAUUGUAAAAUUCUUUCACCGGGGACGAUAAUGACGGUACCCGGAGAAGAAGCCCCGGCUAACUUCGUGCCAGCAGCCGCGGUAAU
rnacentral:rRNA from 1 species